GCGGGUAUAUAUUAAUGGUAAAUUAUUUGCCUUCCAAGCAAAGGAUGUAAGUUCGAUUCUUACUACCCGCA
rnacentral:tRNA from 1 species